rnacentral:lncRNA from 1 species
AGGGACCACCCUGCAUGUUUCUUAUAUCAAAUACGCUUUUCAAACAUUUUUUUUGUCAGCUUCUGAUUCACAACAAUUUCAAAGAAGAAAUAUUUAAAAAAAUUAUGAGCUUAAUUAGCAUAGCAUAUCUCCAUCAUCAGAAAUAUGCCACAAGUAUAUGUUAAAAGUACAAAUUUCAUCAGAGUGGGUCUUUAAAUCAGCAGUGGAGGACAUCAUCACAUUUAUUUUUACAGUCACUGCUAAUUCUUGAGCAUUGAAGCUUAAAUUCAGCUAAAAAUACAGUUUAGACCAACAAGAUGAAUAAUUGGAUAUUUAAUAAUCGGAUAUUUAUUUCUGAAUUAAAAAUAGAAGAUAGUCAGCUACCGUGUCUACACGUCUUUAAAUGAUUUCCUUUCUUAAAAACAUGCAGACGCAGUGAUCGGCGGCGGGAGCUCCGCCCACUUUCAUAUAAGCUUUUCACAGAUCGAGCGAGGAAAUCUUCCUUCUGUUCAGGUCGAUGUCCUCUGCAUCUGCCAGCCUGCAAACAGUCUGAUCCCUGCAGUCCCUUCACAGCUCCAGGAGGGGGGCUGAGACCUUCAAAAGACAUCAAAGUUUUACUCAAAACACUAAAACCAAGAACAGAUUUCAUUUUUAUUUAACCUUUUUAUCUGCUCAGAAAAUGACCAUCUAUUUUCUUUUUUGUUUUGCAGUUCACAGCUUAACGACUCCAAACAAAAUCAAAUGAAGAAGCGAGCUGAUUCCUCUUGCUCUGAACCUAACUCUGUCCUCCUCUCGCUGCUGUCCCGUCAACAUGGAAACAAAAGGAUCAUCUGAUCAAGGCAGGUACGAUCAGAUAAACUGUAACCCAAAUUCUUCAAAUAAACACAGCUAACAAACCCACUAUUUAUUAGAAGUUCUUUAGCAGACUUGUCACUACGAUCUGUUUUAAUCAGACGAUGUUUUGCUUUAUUUCCUUUAGGUCAGAGAAGAAGAAGAUUGCGGAGGGGGGGGUUAGUGCGUGGAAAUUGCAGUAAAACGCGGCAGCAGGAAGGAAAAGAUAAACAUGUUCUUUUUCGGGUCGAGUCACAGGAGGCCGAUAACCUGCCGCCUUCUUUCCUCACGGCAGCAGAGAGACCAGGACUCGUCUGGGAGAAAAAGAGAGAAAAACCCUGUUUCCUGAACCUCAGGUUUGCAUGUCAUCUUUUAUCAGACGUGCCCUCCUUGGAAGCUGGUUUCAGAUGGUGGCUUAGAGUGCUGUCAUCUAUCUAG